CAGGAGAAGAAUCAGUUCAGGUGGAAUGGUAGACUGGAGAGAAGAUGGGGGCCAGGCAGAUUUCAGAGGGGAGAAUGUUCCAGCAGAGAAAAUAACAAGAAAAGACCUGAGUUGGAAGUGAACGUGGUUGGAGCAUCCUGGCCCGGUCCCAGACCUGCUGAGUCCCAAAGUCCAGGCUGAGGGGACCAGCAAGCUUCAUUGUGGCACAGCUCGGAGGUAUUUGUGAUGGCCGCUCAAGUGUGAGGACUCCUGAGGAUGGAAAGGGCAUGGACUUCGUGAGAGGUGAACGUUUUCGAUUAAGACUUAAAAUCUUACCUUUGAUGAUGCAUCACCUUGAGAGAAAUCCCAAGUAUUCUAAUGACCCAGGCCAGCCAAUGUGGCAGGAAGAGGAUGAUGCAAGAGAUCAGGGGCUCAGUUCUUUGUUAUGUGACAGCAGGACUCUGAUUGACUGCACCCUCUGGGUUUGAACUCCUCCACCACUCUCUGGAUAUGCUGAAAAAUCUUCUUGGGGAUUUGAAGAGUCUUACACAUACGGAGACUCCAGAAUGAAGUGUUUGCUUAUCAUCCAUUUUUACCCCCUUUGAAAUAGUCUGUGCCUGCAUUAUAACCUUAGGUCAAAACUAUUUGGGGUGGUAGAAACUCAUGAUAAACACAUGCUUUUGAAGGUUAGAAUGCCAUCAGUUUAAGAACAUCAGAUUAACCUUUUUAUUUAAAAAUUAAAAAAAGAAACGCUCCGAAAUGAGAGGAGGACCAUGUGUAUGUCUAUAUGUACAUGCAUGCAUUAAAAAUACUUAGAUAUGAAAUUACAAAUGCUUGCACACCAAAAUAUAUAGUUAUCUAUUUAAACUAUUUUGUUUAAGAAAUUAAUGAUAUUUUGAAUCACUACUAGUCUUUUAAAAA